UAGGGAAUCUUCGGCAAUGGGGGCAACCCUGACCGAGCAACGCCGCGUGAGUGAAGAAGGUUUUCGGAUCGUAAAGCUCUGUUGUAAGAGAAGAACGUGUGUGAGAGUGGAAAGUUCACACAGUGACGGUAACUUACCAGAAAGGGACGGCUAACUACGUGCCAGCAGCCGCGGUAAUACGUAGGUCCCGAGCGUUGUCCGGAUUUAUUGGGCGUAAAGCGAGCGCAGGCGGUUUAAUAAGUCUGAAGUUAAAGGCAGUGGCUUAACCAUUGUUCGCUUUGGAAACUGUUAAACUUGAGUGCAGAAGGGGAGAGUGGAAUUCCAUGUGUAGCGGUGAAAUGUGUAGAUAUAUGGAGGAACACCGGUGGCGAAAGCGGCUCUCUGGUCUGUAACUGACGCUGAGGCUCGAAAGCGUGGGGAGCAAACAGG
rnacentral:rRNA from 1 species